UGGGGAAUUUUGGACAAUGGGGGAAACCCUGAUCCAGCCAUCCCGCGUGCGCGAUGAAGGCCUUCGGGUUGUAAAGCACUUUUGGCAGGAAAGAAACGUCAUGGGUUAAUACCCCGCGAAACUGACGGAACCUGCAGAAUAAGCACCGGCCAACUACGUGCCAGCAGGCGCGGUAAUACGUAGGGUGCAAGCGUUAACCGGAAUUACUGGGCGUAAAGCGUGCGCAGGCGGUUCGGAAAGAAAGAUGUGAAAUCCCAGAGCUCAACUUUGGAACUGCAUUUUUAACUACCGGGCUAGAGUUUGUCAGAGGGAGGUGGAAUUCCGCGUGUAGCAGUGAAAUGCGUAGAUAUGCGGAGGAACACCGAUGGCGAAGGCAGCCUCCUGGAAUAACACUGACGCUCAUGCACGAAAGCGUGGGGAGCAAACAGG
rnacentral:rRNA from 1 species